rnacentral:rRNA from 1 species
UACAGAGGGUGCGAGCGUUAAUCGGAGUAACUGGGCGUAAAGGGCACGUAGGCGGUACUAUUAGUCUGAUGUGAAAGACCCGGGCUUAACCUGGGAUGUGCAUUGGAAACGGUAGAACUAGAGUUUGGGAGAGGGAAGUGGAAUUUCCGGUGUAGCGGUGAAAUGCGUAGAGAUCGGAAAGAACACUCGUGGCGAAGGCGACUUUCUGGCCCAAAACUGACGCUGAGGUGCGAAAGCGUGGGGAGCAAACAGG